rnacentral:tRNA from 1 species
UCCCUAGUGGUCCAGUGGUUAAGACUUUGCCUUCCAAUGCAGGGGGUCUGGGUUCGAUUCCUAGCCAGGGAA